UCUGACUGACGGCAUGUUGGCACCAGCAUUGAAGAAGGUGAUGGGCUUCAGGUCCAGGUUCCUGUCCUGAGACCACAGCAGGAUGUGCCUUGGACAAAGGCUUGGACUCCUGGAUCAUCCAGUGACUUCAAAAUUCUGGUCUCAGGGUGGUGAACUUUUUCUUUGAAUUCCUAACCUGUGAGCCUAUGAUGAUGGUGCCUGUCAAUUAACUGAACUACUGUGAUACAAAACCAAUGGAAGAAACCAAUGGAAGAAUUCAGAUCAGAGGGUAACAAGUCUGCACUUCAAGCA